GACGAACGCUGGCGGCGCGCUUAACACAUGCAAGUCGAACGGAAAGGCCUGCUUUCCCUUGUGGAUUGCGGGUACUCGAGUGGCGAACGGGUGAGUAACACGUGAGUGAUCUGCCCCCAACUUGGGUAUAAGCCUGGGAAACUGGGUCUAAUUCCCGAUAGGACUGCAGGGUGGUGCCUGUGGUGGAAAACGAUUUUCUAGUGGUUGGGGAUGAGCUCGCGGCCUAUCAGCUUGUUGGUGGGGUAAUGGCCUACCAAGGCGGCGACGGGUAGCCGGCCUGGGAGGGUGGACGGUCACAUUGGGACUGAGAUACGGCCCCGACUCCUGCGGGAGGCAGCAGUUGGGAAUAUUGCACAAUGGGCGGAAGCCUGAUGCAGCGACGCCGCGUGGGGGAUGACGGCCUUCGGGUUGUAAACUCCUUUCGACCGCGAGGAAGCCACCUGGUUGGAAGGGUGGUGACGGUAGUGGUAGAAGAAGCACCGGCUAACUACGUG
rnacentral:rRNA from 1 species